rnacentral:lncRNA from 1 species
AUAUCAAUAAAUAAAUAUUGGGAUUUUUACAGGCUAAGACUUAGCCAUCAAAGAGAAGAUGGAGAAAGAAGACUCCAGGCAGAAGGGACAACAUAACAAAGGCAAGAAGGAGGAAGUACAAGGCUGUGACCUGCAUCCAGAGAGAAAAGAGGGUCAAAGUAGCCUUCCCAGAGGGCAUGUGUCUGUCUGUGAAGGGGACACCUGAGCAGUAGAAUCCUCCCUUGCCCAGAGGCCAGUGGAGUUUUCGGCUAAUUCUCCAAAAUCUAAUGAAAUACUUCCUCUGCAGAAGUCAAAGGUAUGUCAGAGAUACACAACUUAAAAUUUUACUCUUGACAUAAGAACUGCUUUCAACGGGGGCAGCACAAGAGACACAAGGCCCAGGCACAAGGUGUUUGAUAUAGUCAAUCAGUCUAUACUAGGAGAAAAAGUCAGUUUAUACUGGUAGGAAAAGAGAAACUACUGGAAAGCAGUGCCAGAUUAGGGCAUUUUGAAAUGGCUACAGUUUGGAAAGUUUAUGCUAAAGCUAAGAACAGUUCCCUGCAUCUCUUUUUAUUCCUUUUGGGAAACUCCUGGUCUUGUCUUGCCUUGGUAGAGAAAGCUUAAACCAGACUGUGACCAGAGCAUGUAUCAGGAGAGGCCUCCCACUCC